AUCAAUAAAAAUGUGUGGGUCCAAGUACAAAUUUGGGUUCACGUGACCUAAUUGAAUUAAAUGCACAAUUAGGGUUCCACAACCUUAUUAAAUGUGCAAAUUAGGGUUCGCAUGGCCUAAAUAAAUAUACUAGAUCCGAGAGGAGCUUCAUGUGUCCCGAGGCAGAAGGCUCGUGGAGGCAGCUCAUUUUUGGAAUUGAUUGAGGGAUAUAUUGGAUUGGUGGCUAGAAGGAUAGGACGAUAUGAGCACUAUUUUAGGGUAGCAGUGACUCAGAGAGACUUCUUGAGUGUUUCGGGUUGAGAGAGAAUGUCCAAGAACUAUUAGAAUCCGAAAACCUUAUUAGGGUAGCAGGGAUCCAGAGAGUCUUCUUGAGUGCUUGGGGUUGAUAGAGAAUGUCCAAGUCCUCCAAGCUUCCAAGAGUCCAAAGUCCAAAAAAG
rnacentral:lncRNA from 1 species